AGUAACCAGCAGGUAGUCUGGUGGUUAGAGCGUUGGGUCAGUAACCAGCAGGUAGUCUAGUGGUUAGAGCGUUGGGUCAGUAACCAGCAGGUAGUCUAGUGGUUAGAGCGUUGGGUCAGUAACCAGCAGGUAGUCUAGUGGUUAGAGCGUUGGGUCAGUAACCAGCAGGUAGUCUAGUGGUUAGAGCGUUGGGUCAGUAACCAGCAGGUAGUCUAGUGGUUAGAGCGUUGGGUCAGUAACCAGCAGGUAGCCUAGUGGUUAGAGUGUUGGGUCAGUAACCAGCAGGUAGUCUAGUGGUUAGAGCGUUGGGUCAGUAACCAGCAGGUAGUCUAGUGGUUAGAGCGUUGGGUCAGUAACCAGCAGGUAGUCUAGUGGUUAGAGCGUUGGGUCAGUAACCAGCAGGUAGUCUAGUGGUUAGAGCGUUGGGUCAGUAACCAGCAGGUAGUCUGGUGGUUAGAGCGUUGGGCCAGUAACCAGCAGGUAGUCUAGUGGUUAGAGCGUUGGGUCAGUAACCAGCAGGUAGUCUAGUGGUUAGAGCGUUGGGCCAGUAACCAGCAGGUAGUCUAGUGGUUAGAGCGUUGGGCCAGUAACCAGCAGGUAGACUAGU